ensembl:snRNA U6 U6 spliceosomal RNA
GUGCUCACUUUGGGAGCACAUAUACUAAAAUUGGAAUGAUACAGAGAAGAUUAGCAUGGCUCCUGUGCAAGGAUGACAUGCAAAUUCGUGAAGUAUUGUGUAUUUUG